AUACAUGCAAGUCGAACGAGUUCUCGUUGAUGAUCGGUGCUUGCACCGAGAUUCAACAUGGAACGAGUGGCGGACGGGUGAGUAACACGUGGGUAACCUGCCCUUAAGUGGGGGAUAACAUUUGGAAACAGAUGCUAAUACCGCAUAGAUCCAAGAACCGCAUGGUUCUUGGCUGAAAGAUGGCGUAAGCUAUCGCUUUUGGAUGGACCCGCGGCGUAUUAGCUAGUUGGUGAGGUAAUGGCUCACCAAGGCGAUGAUACGUAGCCGAACUGAGAGGUUGAUCGGCCACAUUGGGACUGAGACACGGCCCAAACUCCUACGGGAGGCAGCAGUAGGGAAUCUUCCACAAUGGACGCAAGUCUGAUGGAGCAACGCCGCGUGAGUGAAGAAGGCUUUCGGGUCGUAAAACUCUGUUGUUGGAGAAGAAUGGUCGGCAGAGUAACUGUUGUCGGCGUGACGGUAUCCAACCCAGAAAAGCCACGGCUAACUACGUGCCAGCAGCCGCGGUAAUACGUAGGUGGCAAGCGUUAUCCCGGAUUUAUUGGGCGUAAAGCGAGCGCAGGCGGUUUUUUAAGUCUGAUGUGAAAGCCCUCGGCUUAACCGAGGAAGCGCAUCGGAAACUGGGAAACUUGAGUGCAGAAGAGGACAGUGGAACUCCAUGUGUAGCGGUGAAAUGCGUAGAUAUAUGGAAGAACACCAGUGGCGAAGGCGGCUGUCUGGUCUGUAACUGACGCUGAGGCUCGAAAGCAUGGGUAGCGAACAGGAUUAGAUACCCUGGUAGUCCAUGCCGUAAACGAUGAAUGCUAGGUGUUGGAGGGUUUCCGCCCUUCAGUGCCGCAGCUAACGCAUUAAGCAUUCCGCCUGGGGAGUACGACCGCAAGGUUGAAACUCAAAGGAAUUGACGGGGGCCCGCACAAGCGGUAGGAGCAUGUGGUUUUAUUUCUAAGCAACGCGAAGAACCUUAACCAGGGUCUUGACAUCUUUUGAUUCACCUGAGAGAUCAGUUUUCCCCUUCGGGGGCAAAAUGACAGGUGGUGCAUGGUUGUCGUCAGCUCGUGUCGUGAGAUGUUGGGUUAAGUCCCGCAACGAGCGCAACCCUUAUGACUAGUUGCCAGCAUUUAGUUGGGCACUCUAGUAAGACUGCCGGUGACAAACCGGAGGAAGGUGGGGAUGACGUCAAAUCAUCAUGCCCCUUAUGACCUGGGCUACACACGUGCUACAAUGGAUGGUACAACGAGUUGCGAGACCGCGAGGUCAAGCUAAUCUCUUAAAGCCAUUCUCAGUUCGGACUGUAGGCUGCAACUCGCCUACACGAAGUCGGAAUCGCUAGUAAUCGCGGAUCAGCACGCCGCGGUGAAUACGUUCCCGGGCCUUGUACACACCGCCCGUCACACCAUGAGAGUUUGUAACACCCGAAGCCGGUGGCGUAACCCUUUUAGGGAGCGAGCCGUCUAAGGUGGGACAAAUGAUUAGGGUGAAGUCGUAACAAG
rnacentral:rRNA from 1 species